rnacentral:rRNA from 1 species
UACGGAGGGUGCGAGCGUUAUCCGGAAUUACUGGGUUUAAAGGGUGCGUCGGCGGCUGUGUAAGUCAGGAGUGAAAGUUUGCGGCUCAACCGUAAAAUUGCUUUUGAUACUGCAUGGCUAGAAUCAGGAUGAGGUUAGCGGAAUGUGGCAUGUAGCGGUGAAAUGCAUAGAUAUGCCAUAGAACACCAAUUGCGAAGGCAGCUGGCUAGACCUGUAUUGACGCUGAGGCACGAAAGCGUGGGGAGCGAACAGG